GUCUAUGGCCAUGCCACUCUGAACAAACUUGAUAUCUGAUCUUGGAAGCUAUGCAGGGUCGAGUCUGCUUAGUACUUGGACGGGAGACCACCUAGGACGACCAGGUGCUGUAGGCA
rnacentral:rRNA from 1 species